CUCCCUGCUUCCUACAGAAUAAAGGCCUAACUCCUGAGCUCCUGGCUGGCAUUCAGAGCUCUGUCGCCCCUCCCUGGUCUCCAGGGCCCUGUAGCUUGCAACCACGUGGGAUUAUCCGUCCAAGUGAAUUCUUUUCCUUCCUAGCCACCCAAUUAGACUUAAUUCCUCCUCAACAAAGCUUCCUAAACUGCCUGUUAGAAUUGAUCUCUUCCUGCUCCAUUUCCCUAAAGCCUUUUUAGUCCACUCUGCUGUCUACUGCAGUGUCCUUGUUAAGUCACCUGUCUGACCCCCAGGCUCAGGUGUGAGGCGCCGGAGGACUGCGGCCACAUCUUUGUCACAGCUGUGCUCAAGCAGGUCAUCUAAGAUGCUACUUGCAGAAGUGACAUUGUGACAUUGUGGGAAGGCACCGAAUAUGCAAAUAGGCACCAACUAGAGAACCAGAUCCUCUUCUACUGUCUCUUCACACAACUGGAUCUGAUCUGGCUGUGGAGCCUAUUUGCAUCAGUUACACCCGGAAGAAAAUCUUAGAGGCCCCAGCUAGGACAUCGAUCUGUCUACACCAGCCACAUUAACUGGCCACCGAGAGCACAGACAUGUUGCCCUUGGUGUUGUGAUCAAGCAAAGCCUCUCUCUGUCCUUGGCUCGCUCUCUCUCCUGACCCUGCAAGAAGUAACUGAAAACAAUCUAGUAUGUGUCUUUCAAACCGGAGAUGGAAUGCUCAGUGGUCCACAGUUUUUAUCUUUAUUAAUGUAUAAAAACCAACUUUUAACAAUUGUAUAACACUUUGUCAUUAUGAAGAUCUCUCACUUUAUUAACAUUUUGUGUCACGCUCAUGAAUUACUCCAUGAGGCAAGUUACUAUCUGUUAUAUGUAGAUGUAAACGGAAGUCCUGACGGUGAGUAGCUUUGCCCAAGCUUUGUACACAACUGGUCGGCAGCAGGCCUUCUAAAUCCUUCUUUCAUGCCCUCCCCCCACCAGGAGGAAGGGAGACAUUCCUACAAAGUCUUUUGCACGCAGCCCUCAAAUCCACACGAAGCUGCUCUACCUCUUAUACAUGCGAUUUUUCGGGUGAAGAAAUGCAAGAAGUACAGGACUUGGAGAUUCCACGGUAUGAUGGUAAUGGAAUAGGUGUUCUCGGAAGAUACGUAACUCUUAAAAAAUUGGGGACUGAGGAUCACGAUGAAUCAGUGAAAAACGUAAAAGUUUCCAGUAAUAUCUGGAAGCCAUAUAAGAAAAAUACCAAAAAUAGAGGAACAACAAGCAGAUUUACUUGAUGUAGAAAAGUGGCUGAAAGACAAGUUCAGAGAGGGAUUCAGGAACAUGAGAGAAUUUGACAAAUGUGAUCCAGAAAAUAUAGGCAAGAUAUUGCGCCGACACCAACCCCCUACUUAGGGACCCUUAGACUCGUGUGUGGGCCGGUCCCCCGCACCGAGUGGCGCCUGAACAGGGACCUGAAUAGAAGAAAAAAAAAAGAGGAAAAGAAAAGAAAAAGAAAACAAAGAUAUUCAAAGGACAGUGAUUCGCCUAUUUGAGUUCCCGAUCACCUGAUUCGUCAUGUCUCCGUGCGCGCAUGGCUGAGGCUGCAAAACUGGAGGACCGCCAAACCCGCCACUGAAUUGCCCCGCCCCGGGGAUGUGAUCAACAACCUAGCACAAAGGAUUGAACAGAUUCGCCUACAACCCAAAGUUCCUAGACAGAUGGCCCAAAAUAAUAUUCUCCCUACUAGGAGACAAAUUAACAAUCUUAUCAGAAGAACUGAUCAGUUUCUUGAGGAGCGACAUCAACCUAGAGUCAGCCUUCCUUUUUCUUGCCAUGCUUGCUUCACUUUCAUGGCGUGUAACACCAGCUCCUACUGCUAACUAUUGGGCCUUUUUUCCAAAGCCUCCUGCUUUCCAUCCUGUUACUUGGGAUGAAGAGCCUAUUAAGGUUUAUACCAAUACAUCUGUACUUCUUGGAGGCUUUGAUAUUCCUGACCCAGGAGUCUUUGUUACUGCGCUUAAUAAGAAUGUUACUUAUGUAGGUGUUUCCUCUUCUUUACCCAUGUGUUUUACUUUCCCUAUGAUGCGGCCGUUCUCUAUUUCUAUUCCUAAUUGUGUCCCUACUCAGAUUUCUGGUAUAAUCCAAGACAGAGUAUCUCUGGUGACUCCUACAUAUUCUCGCAAUAAGGCCUUAAAUACUCAUACAAUAAAAAUGCGAACAUUAACUGCUGUUCUUCCAGGAACUAAGGUAUCUGGUGUAAAAACUUAUCCUCUUAAAAAUAUGGUGACAAUAAAUAAAUUCCAUACUCAUCCACCAGGAUGCCCAGACUGUAAGCCAUUUAGUACUAAUUCAGAGGAAACAGAGAAUACUGUUCAAGGAGCACGCCCUAUGUGGAUUGAAUGCAGGUUUAAUUCAACCCGACCAACACUAGUAACUGCUCCUGAUAAUUCCAAAGUUAUUCAAGAUUCGAGUGCACCUGAUCCCUUUGCUGAUUUUAGAAAUUAUUUUUAUGGUAAAUCUGGUUGGACAGAUUCUCUUAUACCUUCCCCUAUUUUAAUUAAUCGUAUUUCUACCCAAGGGUUUAUGGUUCCUAUUCUGGUGUCACAACAAAAGCAACCUAUUAGGUUUCAUAGCCAUAUUUGGAGGUUAUUAGCGGCCACUCGAAACGCUACCUAUUCUUUUGGUCAAAAUACUACACAGACAUAAUUUUAAAGCUUGUGUGACCUCUCCUUUUGCUCUACUAAUGCUAAAGAUUUAACUUCUUUACAAAUCAAAAAACAACCUCAUAGUAAAAGUUAUACUAUAAAUUGUAAAAGGUGUCUUUUAUCUAAUUGUGUAACCUCUAAGAUGAAUAUUAGAAUGAUGAUGAUUGUAAAACAACCACCUUCUAUUAUGAUUCCUGUAAAUGUUUCCUCUCCCUGGUAUAAUAAUCACGGGAUAUUUUUAAUAAUGAGCUUUUAAAUAAUGAGCUGUCUCAUCCAAGAAAAUUUAUCGCUGCUUUGGUAUUGGGAAUGACUACAUUAAUUUCUAUUAUUUCUGCUGUCACUGUAUCCACUGUUGCUUUGAUUAAGGAAGUACAUACAGCCUCUUUUGUUAAUGAUAUGUCUAAAAAUGUAACAUUAGCUUUAACUGCUCAGGAAAUUAUUGACCGAAAGCUCAAUGAUAAGGUUAAUGUUCUUGAAAAGCGCAGUUCUGCCUAUUGGCCAAGAAUUAUUGACUUUAAAAAUUCAACUGUCUCUCAGAUGUCACUCUGAUUAUAAGUGGAUUUGUGUUACUCCUUUACAAGUAAAUGAGUCCCAACAUUCUUGGGACAAGGUGCAACAGUAUAUUUUGGGAAUUUGGACCAUUCAGACUUGAGUUUUGAUAUAAGUGCCUUACAUAAACAAAUUUCUGAUAUUAAUGAGGCCAGAGAAGAUUUCAAUGCUGAUAAACUUGCUUCUGACAUUUAUAAUAAAAUAACAAAUCUAGUAGGACACUCCAGUUUCUUUUCCUUGAUGGUUAAUGCUGGCAUCUCACUGGCAAUAUUCUUGAUAAUAUUGUCCCUUUUGCCGUGUGUUUAUAGAUGCCUUAAGUCCAGCAUUUCUCGCCUGCACACUAAAGUCAAAGCUGCUGAGUUCUUAAAUAAAAAAGGGGGAAAUGUAGGGGCCCAUUCUGCCAAAAGACCUGUUGAGAUCCCGCUGUAAGUCAC